GCGGAGCAGACAAAGGAGGCGGGGCAGCUGGAGUUGCCAGAAAAGGGUUCUUGGAGGCAGAUGCAGCUGGAGCCGAGCCUCCAAAACCCGGAGGGGAACAAAGCAUGGAGAUGGGGCGCUGGCAAGGGCGCCGCCUAGUGCCGGAUGGGCCAGCAGCAGGACUCUGCCCUUCAGAGGUUCGAGCCGCUGUGGGAUGCAGUGAGUGUGUGGUCUUUGAAAGGACUUAAGAAGACAGACGUUAGAAGCUGACAAAGAGUAGGUGCAGUGAGUAAACGUUCCAAGAGGCUCGACCCUGAGACCGCAGAGUCCGCAUGCCGGCCAGUGGAGGGCAGAGAGGGAGUCUUGCAGCCGCUGCAGAUGCCUCCGAAAAGGGAGGCGCUACUUGGUGAAAAUUCUGCAUUUGUGUUCAAUGACAUCAGAAGGUGUUGCAUUUUAUUCCUUCCUUGGUCAGAUAGAGAUAUGUGAGGAUGGUUCGAAAAAUUCAUGGAAAAUAUAAUUAAAAGAUAAAUUUUUUCUGGUGCAAAAUCUUUUGAAAUCCAUGUAUUGCUUUUCCAUGAUGCAUUUUCCAUGAACUUUUUGAAGAUCUCUUGUAUGCAUGGAUUUUAAUUUUUUUUCAGACCAAAUUAAGCAUUGUCCACAAAUGUUGUGAAAUGUCCUUGUAUUUUACUAUUGCCAUUAAAUAAAUAGCUUCAAACAGUUUGAAAUAUUCAUCAGCUAGGUUUAAUUUGACGAUUUAAAAUCACUGGGCUUUUGGGAUCACUGUUUUUAUCUGUACAAUGGGGCGCUAAUGUGUAUCAGUAGUGGUUUGUGAAUUAUAGGUUGAAACAAUGUAUAUAACAGUGCCUGGCACAGAACAGAGUCUCAGUGAAGGCUGCUGCUUAUGGUGAUGAUGGAGAAGAAACUAGCAGAUUUGUAUCUCUUGCUUAUUCCUGGUGAAAGUAUCAGUUUUCUUAUUUCAGUGCCUGUAUUUGGCAAUUUUCCUGGACCGACUGUUGAUACAGUCAUUAUAGGAAUGCAGCCUUCUGUGUUACGUGAGGCAUUGCCUUUUCAUAACCCUCCCAAAGGCCGUCUCUCCUUAUGCAGUUGGAGGAGUCCAGUGCAAGGAACUUGAAGUGGAUUUGGCUCUGUGCAUUGCCUCAAAGAGGCCAAGCCAGUCCCUGGCUGAUCUGUUGGAAUAAGCGCAAGCCCCGGCCAGGGUCUUGAUCGCAGAUCCAGGGCUGGAACCCGAGGUGUGCCUCGCAGGCGAGCAACUCCUUCCUCACACGUGACGGAGCUGCACUGUGACAUGUGGCUUCCGCAC